rnacentral:rRNA from 1 species
UACGUAGGGUGCAAGCGUUGUCCGGAAUUAUUGGGCGUAAAGAGCUCGUAGGCGGUUUGUCGCGUCGGCUGUGAAAACCCGAGGCUCAACCUCGGGCCUGCAGUCGAUACGGGCAAACUAGAGUGCGGUAGGGGAGACUGGAAUUCCUGGUGUAGCGGUGAAAUGCGCAGAUAUCAGGAGGAACACCGGCGGCGAAGGCGGGUCUCUGGGCCGUAACUGACGCUGAGGAGCGAAAGCGUGGGGAGCAAACAGG